rnacentral:rRNA from 1 species
GAUGAACGCUGGCGGCGUGCCUAAUACAUGCAAGUCGAGCGAACGGACGAUAAUCUUGUUUCUCUGAUGUUAGCGGCAGACGGGUGUGUAACACGUGUAUAACCUACCUAUCAGACUGGGAUCACCUCGGGAAACCGGCGCUAAUCCCAGAUAAUAUUUUGAACCGCAUGGUUCAAAGGUGAAAUACGGUCUUGCUGUCACUUAUAGCUGCAUCCGAGCUGCAUUAGGGAGUUGUUACGGUACCGGGUUACCAAGGCUAGCAUGCAUAGCCGACCUGAAAGGGUGAUCGGCCACACUGGAACUGAGACACGGUCCAGACUCCUACGGGAGGCAGCAGUAGGGAAUCGUCCGCAAUGGGCGAAAGCCUGACGGAGCAACGCCGAGUGAGUGAUGAAGGUCUUCGGAUCGUAAAACUCUGUUAUUAGGGAAGAACAUAUGUGUAAGUAACUGUGCACAGAUUGACGGUACCUAAUAAGAAAGCCACGGCUAACUACGUG